CGGGCUGGGGCGGAUGCAUAGGCGGCAGAUUUCAAUACUGUAAAUACGGAUUUGAUGUUUCAGAUUGCUAUUCUCCCGCAGCCGUUUGGACAACAUCCUCGGUCACUGUUCGGGCACCACACUCCUUAACCGUUCGGACACCAUCAUCCGCCACCGCACGACUACCACCGGCCACCACCACCAUCGGAACAUCACCAUCAGCGGUUCGGGCGCCCGCAUUCGCCGCCUCAUCUCGCCCACCACCACGGACAUCCGGGUCACCACCGCGGACAUCGACAUGGACACCCAGGACCGGGCUGGGGCGGAUGCAGAGGCUGCAGAUUUUAAUACUGUGAAUACGGAUUUGAUUGUAAGACAUACUGUGUGCUGAGCAUAACUUGAUGUCAAAGAUGUGAUGUUUGAGUCAAGACAAAGCGGCACUUAACAAUAUAAAUCUGCGUAAACGUUACAUUGGACUAUUCUUCGAACGUUUGUAUCUGAAGGCAUUAUGAUAAUCAUAUUCUCACCGGUGUUAACUUGA